UACGUAGGGGGCAAGCGUUGUCCGGAUUUAUUGGGCGUAAAGAGCUCGUAGGUGGUUCGGUAAGUCGGAUGUGAAAUCUCCAGGCUCAACCUGGAGGGGUCAUUCGAUACUGCCGUGACUAGAGGUCGGUAGGGGAGUGUGGAAUUCCUGGUGGAGCGGUGAAAUGCGGCAGAUAUCAGGAGGAACACCCGUAGCGAAGGCGGCACUCUGGGCCGAUACUGACACUGAGGAGCGAAAGCGUGGGGAGCAACAGG
rnacentral:rRNA from 1 species